GGGGUGAUAAGAUUCAUAGUCAAAAGGGCAACAGCCCAGAUCGUCAGCUAAGGUCCCUAAAUGUACGUUAAGUGGUAAAGGAUGUGGGAUUGCACAGACAACCAGGAUGUUGGCUUAGAAGCAGCCACUCAUUUAAAGAGUGCGUAAUAGCUCACUGGUCGAGUGAUCCUGCGCCGAAAAUUUCCGGGGCUAAAACGCACUACCGAAGCUACGGCAUCAUUUAUGAUGGGUAGGGGAGCUUCGUAUGCAGGCUGAAGCAUGACCGUAAGGACAUGUGGACAGUAUACGAGUGAGAAUGUUGGCAUGAGUAGCGAGACGUGGGUGAGAAUCCCACGGGCCGUAAACCCAAGGUUUCCAGGGGAAGGUUCGUCCGCCCUGGGUUAGUCGGGACCUAAGCCGAGGCCGAAAGGCGUAGGUGAUGGACAACAGGUUGAUAUUCCUGUACCGCCAAUAAGCGUUUGAGAGAUGGAGUGACACAGUAGGAUAAGCUAACCGUACUGUUGGUUAUGUACGGCUAAGCAUUGAGGCAGUCUAAAUAGGCAAAUCCGUUUAGACAAUGCUAGGAUGUGAUGGGGAAGCCCUUCGGGGCGAAGUAGCUGAUUUCACACUGUCAAGAAAAGCUUCUAUCGAGUUUAAAGGCGCCCGUACCGUAAACCGACACAGGUGGGUGAGGAGAGUAUCCUAAGGCCAGCGAGAGAACUAUUGUUAAGGAACUCGGCAAAAUGACCCCGUAACUUAGGGAGAAGGGGUGCCUAUCUAUGACAGGCCGCAGAGAAUAGGCCCAAGCGACUGUUUACCAAAAACACAGGUUUCUGCUAAGUCGCAAGACGAUGUAUAGGAGCUGACGCCUGCCCGGUGCUGGAAGGUUAAGGGGAUCUGUUAGAGCAAUCGAAGCAGUGAACUUAAGCCCCAGUAAACGGCGGCCGUAACGAUAACGGUCCUAAGGUAGCGAAAUUCCUUGUCGGGUAAGUUCCGACCCGCACGAAAGGCGUAACGAUUUGGGCACUGUCUCAACAAUAGACUCGGUGAAAUUGUAAUCCCGGUGAAGAUGCCGGGUACCUGCGACAGGACGGAAAGACCCCAUGGAGCUUUACUGUAGCUUGACGUUGGGUCUUGGUACUACAUGUACAGGAUAGGUGGGAGACUAUGAAGCAUGGACGCCAGUCUGUGUGGAGUCAUCCUUGGGAUACCACCCUUGUAGUACUGGGAUCCUAACCAUAGGCCUUGAAUCAGGUCUUGGAACACCGUCAGGUGGGCAGUUUGACUGGGGCGGUCGCCUCCUAAAAAGUAACGGAGGCGCUCAAAGGUUUCCUCAGCACGGUCGGAAAUCGUGCGAAGAGUGU
rnacentral:rRNA from 1 species